CAGCCGCCACGGUAAUACGGAGGGAGCUAGCGUUGUUCGGAAUUACUGGGCGUAAAGCGCGCGUAGGCGGUUACUCAAGUCAGAAGUGAAAGCCCGGGGCUCAACCCCGGAACUGCCUUUGAAACUAGGUGACUAGAAUCUUGGAGAGGUCAGUGGAAUUCCGAGUGUAGGGGUGAAAUUCGUAGAUAUUCGGAAGAACACCAGUGGCGAAGGCGACUGACUGGACAAGUAUUGACGCUGAGGUGCGAAAGCGUGGGGAGCAAACAGGAUUAGAUACCCGCGUAGUCCCUGUCUCUUAUAU
rnacentral:rRNA from 1 species